rnacentral:rRNA from 1 species
GUCGAGAAUCUUUCACAAUGGGGGCAACCCUGAUGGAGCGACGCCGAGUGGAGGAUAAGGUCUUCGGAUUGUAAACUCCUGUCAUGCGUGAACAAGGUUGCUUGGUUAAUACCUGGGCAAAUUGAUGGUAACGCAAGAGGAAGAGACGGCUAACUCUGUGCCAGCAGCCGCGGUAAUACAGAGGUCUCAAGCGUUGUUCGGAAUCACUGGGCGUAAAGGGUGCGUAGGUGGCGUGGUAAGUCAGAUGUGAAAGCCCGGGGCUCAACCUCGGAACUGCAUCCGAUACUGCCAUGCUAGAGUACUGGAGAGGUGACUAGAAUUCUCGGUGUAGCAGUGAAAUGCGUAGAUAUCGAGAGGAAUACCAAAGGCGUAGGCAGGUCACUGGACAGUUACUGACACUGAGGCACGAAGGCCAGGGGAGCGAACGGGAUUAGAUACCCCGGUAGUCC